GCACGAGAAGUGGAGCAAUCCAUGAGUAAAGUGGCGUACGGGUGAGUAACACGUGGAUCAUCUACCUCUUAGUGGGGAAUAACCCUGGGAAACCGGGGCUAAUACCGCAUAAGCCUGAGAAGGGAAAGCAGCAAUGCGCUGAGAGAGGAGUCCGCGGCCGAUUAGCUAGUUGGUAGGGUAAAGGCCUACCAAGGCAAUGAUCGGUAGCCGGCCUGAGAGGGCACACGGCCACACUGGCACUGAAACACGGGCCAGACUCCUACGGGAGGCAGCAGUGGGGAAUCUUGCACAAUGGAGGAAACUCUGAUGCAGCGACGCCGCGUGAGCGAUGAAGCCCUUCGGGGUGUAAAGCUCUUUCGACGGGAACGAUAAUGACGGUACCCGGAGAAGAAGCUGCGGCUAACUACGUGCCAGCAGCCGCGGUAAUACGUAGGCAGCAAGCGUUGUUCGGAAUUACUGGGCGUAAAGAGUGUGUAGGCGGUUCUCUAUGUUCGGUGUGAAAUCUCCCGGCUUAACUGGGAGGGUGCGCCGAAAACUGGAGGGCUUGAGUAUGGGAGAGGAAAGCGGAAUUCCUGGUGUAGCGGUGAAAUGCGUAGAUAUCAGGAGGAACACCUGCGGUGUAGACGGCUUUCUGGACCAUCACUGACGCUGAGACACGAAAGCGUGGGUAGCAAACAGGAUUAGAUACCCUGGUAGUCCACGCCCUAAACGAUGCAUACUUGGUGUGAGCCGUUCAUU
rnacentral:rRNA from 1 species